rnacentral:rRNA from 1 species
GAGUUUGAUCAUGGCUCAGAACGUACGCUGGCGGCACGCCUAACACAUGCAAGUCGAACGAAGUAGCAAUACUUAGUGGCAGACGGGUGAGUAAUAUGUAGGUAUCUGCCCUUUGGCCUGGAAUAACACGAGGAAACUUGUGCUAAUACCGGAUAAGUCUUUACGGAGAAAGCUUUAUGCACCAUUGGAUGAGCCUGCACUUGAUUAGUUUGUUGGUGUGGUAAUGGCCUACCAAGACUGUGAUCAAUAGCUGAUUUGAGAGGAUGAUCAGCCACACUGGGACUGAGACACGGCCCAAACUCCUACGGGAGGCAGCAGUGGGGAAUCUUGCACAGUGGAGGAAACUCUGAUGCAGCGAUGCCGCGUGAGUGAAGAAGGCCCUUGGGUUGUAAAGCUCUUUCGUCGGGGAAGAAAAUGACUGUACCCGAAUAAGAAGGUCCGGCUAACUUCGUGCCAGCAGCCGCGGUAAUACGAAGGGACCUAGCGUAGUUCGGAAUUACUGGGCUUAAAGAGUUCGUAGGUGGUUGAAAAAGUUAGUGGUGAAAUCCCAGAGCUUAACUCUGGAACUGCCAUUAAAACUUUUCAGCUAGAGUAUGAUAGAGGAAAGCAGAAUUUCUAGUGUAGAGGUGAAAUUCGUAGAUAUUAGAAAGAAUACCAAUUGCGAAGGCAGCUUUCUGGAUCAUUACUGACACUGAGGAACGAAAGCAUGGGUAGCGAAGAGGAUUAGAUACCCUCGUAGUCCAUGCCGUAAACGAUGUGUGUUAGACGUUGGAAAUUUAUUUUCAGUGUCGCAGGGAAACCGAUAAACACACCGCCUGGGGAGUACGACCGCAAGGUUAAAACUCAAAUGAAUUGACGGGGACCCGCACAAGUAGUGGAGCAUGUGGUUUAAUUCGAAGAUACGCGCAGAACCUUACCAACACUUGACAUGUUCGUCGCGACUCUAAGAGAUUAGAGUUUUCGGUUCGGCCGGACGAAACACAGGUGCUGCAUGGCUGUCGUCAGCUCGUGUCGUGAGAUGUUGGGUUAAGUCCCGCAGCGAGCGCAACCCUCACUUUUAGUUGCCAUCAUUAAGUUGGGCACUCUGAAAGAACUGCCAGUGAUAAGCUGGAGGAAGGUGGGGAUGACGUCAAGUCCUCAUGGCCCUUACGUGUUGGGCUACACACGUGCUACAAUGGUAUCUACAACAGGAAGCAAGACUGCGAAGUUAAGCAAAUCCCUAAAAGAUACCUCAGUUCGGAUUGCACUCUGCAACUCGAGUGCAUGAAGCUGGAAUUACUAGUAAUCGUGGAUCAGCGUGCCACGGUGAAUGCGUUCCCGGGUCUUGUGCACACCGCCCGUCACACCAUGGGAGUUGGUUCUACCUUAAGGCAAGGUUUUAAACCCUUGACCACGGUAUAGUCAGCGACUGGGGUGAAGUCGUAACAAGGUAACC